GAUGAACGCUAGCGGCAGGCUUAACACAUGCAAGUCGAGGGGUAUAGGAAGCUUGCUUCCUAGAGACCGGCGCACGGGUGCGUAACGCGUAUGCAACCUACCUUUUACAGAGGGAUAGCCCAGAGAAAUUUGGAUUAAUACCUCAUAGUAUAUGUUUUUCGCAUGUUAGACAUAUUAAAGUAACAACGGUAAAAGAUGAUCAUGCGUCCUAUUAGCUAGAUGGUAAGGUAACGGCUUACCAUGGCAACGAUAGGUAGGGGUCCUGAGAGGGAGAUCCCCCACACUGGUACUGAGACACGGACCAGACUCCUACGGGAGGCAGCAGUGAGGAAUAUUGGACAAUGGGCGCAAGCCUGAUCCAGCCAUGCCGCGUGCAGGAAGAAGCAUCUAUGGUGUGUAAACUGCUUUUGUACGGGAAGAAACACUCCCUCGUGAGGGAGCUUGACGGUACCGUAAGAAUAAGGAUCGGCUAACUCUGUGCCAGCCGCCGCAGUAAUAC
rnacentral:rRNA from 1 species